AAUGAACGUUGGCGGCGUGGAUUAGGCAUGCAAGUCGAGCGAGAACCCCGCAAGGGGGGACAGCGGCGCAAGGGACAGUAAUGUGUAGAUCAUCUGCCCUCAGGUCCGGGAUAGCUGCGGGAAACUGCAGGUAAUACCGGAUAACAUCUCCGGAUCAAAGGUGUGAUUCCGCCUGAGGAUGAGUCUGCAUCCUAUUAGCUAGUUGGCAGGGUAACGGCCUACCAAGGCAUUGAUGGGUAGCGGGUGUGAGAGCACGACCCGCGUCAUUGGGACUGAGACACGGCCCAGACACCUACGGGUGGCUGCAGUCGAGAAUCUNNNGCAAUGGGCGCAAGCCUGACCGAGCGACGCCGCGUGUGGGAUGAAGGCCUUCGGGUUGUAAACCACUGUCAGAGGGGAUGAAAUGCAGGUGGGUUCUNCCAUCUGUUUGACAUAGCCUCAGAGGAAGGACGGGCUAAGUUCGUGCCAGCCGCCGCCGUAA
rnacentral:rRNA from 1 species